rnacentral:sRNA from 1 species
UAAGGUUGGAGGCGGUGUCGGUGGAACUCGAGAAGUUGCCAAGAACCAAACCCAACACUC